rnacentral:tRNA from 1 species
GCCACGUCUCAGUGGUAGAUCAUCAGUUUGGCAUGCAGAAGUUCCCAGGUUCGAUCCCUGGUAUCUCUA